rnacentral:lncRNA from 1 species
AUGCAUGGUCCAUGCCUUGCGUUCCUGCUACAUAUUUUGAGUUUUACUGCAUAUCUUUGCUCAUUUUUUUUCAAUUUUAUUCUUUUUAUUUUUAUUUGUGUUUUGUGUUCUGUUUCUGCUAUAUUUUCUUUUGCAUUUUAGCUAAACUAAGACUUGCCCUGCAUGGUGCCAGCUGUAGCACGCACAGCAGAGCCCUAGUCGAUAAGAAGUUGCAAAUCAGUAUUCGAAAAGCACGGAGCCUGCAGGAUCGCAUGCAGCAGCAGCAAUCACCACAGCAGCCGUCGCAGCCCUCAGCCUGCCUCCCAACACAGGCGGGGACUCUCUCUCAGCCAACAAGUGAACAGCCUAUCCCGCUCCAAGUAUUGUUAAGCCAAGAGGCCCAACUGGAAUCCGGCAUGGAUACAGAGUUUGGGGCCAGUUCUUUCUUCCAUUCACCUGCUUCCUGCCAUGAGUCACACUCAUCACUAUCUCCAGAGUCAUCUGCCCCACAGCACAGCUCCCCCAGUAGAUCUGCCUUGAAGCUUCUGACUUCGGUUGAAGUAGACAACAUUGAACCCUCUGCAUUCCACAGGCAAGGUUUACCUAAAGCACCAGGGUGGACUGAGAAGAAUUCUCAUCAUAGUUGGGAGCCAUCGGAUGCCCCAGAGGGUAAGCCGCAAGGCUCUAGGUGUGACAACAGCAGUUGCAGCAAGCUCCCUCCACAAGAAGGAAGAGGCAUUGCUCAAGAACAGCUGUUCCAAGAAAAGAAGGAUCCUGCUAACCCCUCCCCGGUGAUGCCUGGAAUAGCCACCUCUGAGAGGGGUGAUGAACACAGCCUAGGCUGUCGUCCUUCAAAUUCAUCAGCUCAGCCCAGCCUUCCCCUGUAUAGAACCUGCCACCCCAUAAUGCCUGUUGCUUCUUCAUUUGUGCUUCACUGUCCUGAUCCUGUGCAGAAAACUAACCAAUGCCUCCAAGGCCAAAGCCUCAAAACUUCAUUGACUUUAAAAGUGGACAGAGGCAGUGAGGAGACCUAUAGGCCAGAGUUUCCCAGCACAAAGGGGAUUGUCCGUUCUCUGGCUGAGCAGUUCCAGAGGAUGCAGGGUGUCUCCAUGAGGGAUAGUACAGGUUUCAAGGAUAGAAGUUUGUCAGGUAGUCUAAGGAAGAACUCUUCCCCUUCUGAUUCUAAGCCUCCUUUCUCACAGGGUCAAGAGAAAGGCCACUGGCCAUGGGCAAAGCAACAAUCCUCUCUGGAGGGUGGGGAUAGACCACUUUCCUGGGAAGAGUCCACUGAACAUUCUUCUUUUGCCUUAAACUCUGGGCUGCCUAAUGGUGAAAUUUCUAGCGGAGGACAGCCCAGGUUGGCAGAGCCAGACAUAUACCAAGAGAAGCUGUCCCAAGUGAGAGAUGUUAGGUCUAAGGAUCUGGGCAGCAGUACUGACUUGGGGACUUCCUUGCCUUUGGAUUCCUGGGUGAAUAUUACAAGGUUCUGUGAUUCUCAGCUUAAACAUGGGGCACCUAGGCCAGGAAUGAAGUCCUCCCCUCAUGAUUCCCAUACGUGUGUAACCUAUCCAGAGAGAAAUCACAUCCUUUUGCAUCCACAUUGGAACCAAGACACAGAGCAGGAGACCUCAGAAUUGGAGUCUCUGUAUCAGGCCAGUCUUCAGGCUUCUCAAGCUGGCUGUUCUGGAUGGGGGCAGCAGGAUACCGCCUGGCACCCACUUAGCCAAACAGGCUCUGCAGAUGGCAUGGGGAGGAGGUUGCACUCAGCCCAUGAUCCUGGUCUCUCAAAGACUUCAACAGCAGAAAUGGAGCAUGGUCUCCAUGAAGCCAGAACAGUGCGUACUUCUCAGGCUACACCUUGCCGAGGCCUCAGCAGGGAGUGUGGGGAGGAUGAGCAGUACAGUGCAGAGAAUUUACGUCGCAUCUCACGCAGUCUCAGUGGCACCGUUGUCUCAGAGAGGGAGGAAGCUCCGGUUUCUUCCCACAGUUUUGUAAGUAGAAUCAGGGUCCAUCUAUUCAGAGCACCCUCCUCCUUGCUAAGCAAAAAUACAGUGCAGGUGAAGAAGCAGGGAGAAAGUGAAGGUUGUAAUGUAAGGAAAGGCCCUGUGUACUCAGCAAAAAUAAGGACACGCAGUCAUUAUUUUAUUUACAAACAUUCAGCUGGCGCCCAGAGGAAUGUCCAUUCCAUGUAGCAGUUCUGAAAGGCCGUGCGUGUUGUAGGGUUUCCUGGGGUGAGAAGAGUCAUAAAGCCUUGAGAGGAAUCUGAGAAGCAAAGGCUGCUGAUUGGGUCAGAACCCACUGCACUAAUCAAAGGAAGAAGGAAAGAAAUGGGAUGGAGUAUUGGUUUGCUUUUUCC